rnacentral:snRNA from 1 species
AUACUUAGCUGGCAGGAGAGAUAAUAUGAGCACAAAGGUGUUUUUCCCAGGGGUGAGGCUUAUGCAUUGCACUGUGGAUGUGCUGACCCCUGCAAUUUCCCCAAAUUUUGGGUAACUCGACUGCAUAAUGUGUGGUAGUGGGGGACUGCAUUCAUGCUCUCCCAUG